rnacentral:rRNA from 1 species
GACGAACGCUGGCGGCGUGCUUAACACAUGCAAGUCGAACGGAAAGGCCCUGCUUUUGUGGGGUGCUCGAGUGGCGAACGGGUGAGUAACACGUGAGUAACCUGCCCUUGACUUUGGGAUAACUUCAGGAAACUGGGGCUAAUACCGGAUAGGAGCUCCUGCUGCAUGGUGGGGGUUGGAAAGUUUCGGCGGUUGGGGAUGGACUCGCGGCUUAUCAGCUUGUUGGUGGGGUAGUGGCUUACCAAGGCUUUGACAGGUAGCCGGCCUGAGAGGGUGACCGGCCACAUUGGGACUGAGAUACGGCCCAGACUCCUACGGGAGGCAGCAGUGGGGAAUAUUGCACAAUGGGCGGAAGCCUGAUGCAGCAACGCCGCGUGCGGGAUGACGGCCUUCGGGUUGUAAACCGCUUUCGCCUGUGACGAAGCGUGAGUGACGGUAAUGGGUAAAGAAGCACCGGCUAACUACGUGCCAGCAGCCGCGGUGAUACGUAGGGUGCGAGCGUUGUCCGGAUUUAUUGGGCGUAAAGGGCUCGUAGGUGGUUGAUCGCGUCGGAAGUGUAAUCUUGGGGCUUAACCCUGAGCGUGCUUUCGAUACGGGUUGACUUGAGGAAGGUAGGGGAGAGUGGAAUUCCUGGUGGAGCGGUGGAAUGCGCAGAUAUCAGGAGGAACACCAGUGGCGAAGGCGGUUCUCUGGGCCUUUCCUGACGCUGAGGAGCGAAAGCGUGGGGAGCGAACAGGCUUAGAUACCCUGGUAGUCCACGCUGUAAACGGUGGGUACUAGGUGUGGGGUCCAUUCCACGGGUUCCGUGCCGUAGCUAACGCUUUAAGUACCCCGCCUGGGGAGUACGGCCGCAAGGCUAAAACUCAAAGGAAUUGACGGGGCCCCGCACAAGCGGCGGAGCAUGCGGAUUAAUUCGAUGCAACGCGUAGAACCUUACCUGGGUUUGACAUGGAUCGGGAGUGCUCAGAGAUGGGUGUGCCUCUUUUGGGGUCGGUUCACAGGUGGUGCAUGGCUGUCGUCAGCUCGUGUCGUGAGAUGUUGGGUUAAGUCCCGCAACGAGCGCAACCCUUGUUCACUGUUGCCAGCACGUUAUGGUGGGGACUCAGUGGAGACCGCCGGGGUCAACUCGGAGGAAGGUGGGGAUGACGUCAAGUCAUCAUGCCCCUUAUGUCCAGGGCUUCACGCAUGCUACAAUGGCUGGUACAGAGAGUGGCGAGCCUGUGAGGGUGAGCGAAUCUCGGAAAGCCGGUCUCAGUUCGGAUUGGGGUCUGCAACUCGACCUCAUGAAGUCGGAGUCGCUAGUAAUCGCAGAUCAGCAACGCUGCGGUGAAUACGUUCCCGGG